CACGGAGUUAGCCGGUGCUUCUUCUGUGGGUAACAUCAAUUCCAUCACGUAUUAAGUAACAGACUUUUCUCCCCACUGAAAGUGCUUUACAACCCAAGGGCCUUCUUCACACACGCGGCAUGGCUGGAUCAGGGUUGCCCCCAUUGUCCAAUAUUCCCUACUGCUGCCUCCCGUAGGAGUCUGGACCGUGUCUCAGUUCCAGUGUGACUGAUCAUCCUCUCAGACCAGUUACGGAUCGUAGCCUUGGUAGGCCUUUACCCUACCAACUAGCUAAUCCGACGCGGGCUCAUCCAAUAGCGAGAGGUCCGAAGAUCCCCCCCUUUCCCCGUAGGGCGUAUGCGGUAUUAGCAGUCGUUUCCGACUGUUGUCCCCCAUACUGGGCAGAUUCCCACGCGUUACUCACCCGUUCGCCGCUUUACUCAUCCGAAGACUUUCGCGCUCGACUUGCAUGUGUUAGGCCUGCCGCCAGCGUUCAAUCUGAGCCAGGAUCAAACUCU
rnacentral:rRNA from 1 species